rnacentral:rRNA from 1 species
AUUGAACGCUGGCGGCAUGCUUUACACAUGCAAGUCGAACGGCAGCGCGGGCUUCGGCCUGGCGGCGAGUGGCGAACGGGUGAGUAAUGCAUCGGAACGUGCCCAGUAGUGGGGGAUAGCCCGGCGAAAGCCGGACUAAUACCGCAUACGACCUGAGGGUGAAAGCGGGGGACCGAAAGGCCUCGCGCUAUUGGAUCGGCCGAUGUCGGAUUAGCUAGUUGGUGGGGUAAAGGCUUACCAAGGCGACGAUCCGUAGCUGGUCUGAGAGGACGACCAGCCACACUGGGACUGAGACACGGCCCAGACUCCUACGGGAGGCAGCAGUGGGGAAUUUUGGACAAUGGGGGCAAGCCUGAUCCAGCCAUGCCGCGUGCGGGAAGAAGGCCUUCGGGUUGUAAACCGCUUUUGUUCGGGAAGAAAUCCUCUGGGCUAAUACCCCGGGGGGAUGACGGUACCGGAAGAAUAAGCACCGGCUAACUACGUG